rnacentral:rRNA from 1 species
GUUUGAUCAUGGCUCAGGAUGAACGCUGGCGGCGUGGUUAAGGCAUGCAAGUCGAACGGUAAGUUUGUAAUUUAUUACGAACUUAUAGUGGCAAACGGGUUAGUAACGCGUAGGUAACCUACCUUCGAGUCUGACAUAAUUCCGCGAAAGCGGGACUAAUUUCAGAUGGAAAUGAGGGGGCGAAAGUCAUUCUCAUUUAAAGAUUUAUCGCUCGAAGAGGGGCCUGCGUCCUAUCAGCUAGUUGGCGAGGUAAUGGCUCACCAAGGCUAUGACGGGUAGGGGGACUGAGAGGUCGGCCCCCAACAUCGGAACUGAGACACUGUCCGGACUCCUACGGGAGGCUGCAGUCAAGAACCUUUCUCAAUGGGCGAAAGCCUGAAGAAGCGACGCCGCGUGUAUGAAGAAGCCCUUCGGGGUGUAAAAUACUUUUCUAGGGGAACAAUUUCUGAGCUUACCCUAGGAAUAAGGAGCUCCUAAACUCGUGCCAGCAGGAGCGGUAAUACGAGUGCUCCAAGCGUUAUCCGGAAUUACUGGGCGUAAAGCGUCUGUAGGGGGUUUUAAUAGUCUUGUGUUAAAUCUUGGGGCCCAACCCCAAGCUCGCGCAGGAAACGUUAAGACUAGAGGAUGUGAGAGGCUGAUAGAACCUAUGGUGUAGGGGUGAAAUCCGUUGAUAUCGUAGGGAAUACCAAAGGCGAAGGCAUUCAGCUAGCGCACUCCUGACCCUGGGAGACGAAAGCGUGGGGAUCAAAAAGGAUUAGAUACCCUUGUAGUCCACGCCCUAAACGAUGAUGACUAGCCUUUUGAAGUAUCGACCCUUCAAGCGGCGAAGCUAACGCGUUAAGUCAUCCGCCUGGGAAGUACGGCCGCAAGGCUAAAACUC